AUCGUAUUGUCGGGGUUUCCAGAGAAUAAAAUCUUGUUAAUCAAAUAUCAAAUCAAAUUACACAUGAACUGCAUACCAAUCGUUUUGAUGAAUCAAAAAUUAUAUUUUACAUACAAAACCUAUGUAUUAAUCAAUAUAUUUCUAAGUUCUCAUUAAAAAAUAUUUUAAAUCGCGUAUUAUUUGAUUGAUAAAUCAUGGUUUGUUUAAAUGUACUUAUUAAAAUAUAUUUUGGAUUUUCAUAAAGAAAAUACUACACUAAAUAUUAUUAUAAGUUUCUGAUAUCUUUUGAGUAGGUUUCAUUGUGUCACGAUCUAUAAUACAUUAUUUGUUGGGGAGAAAUUAUGAAUUUAUUUAUAAAAAAAAAUUGCUCAACGAAACAAAAUAUAGUAGUCAGAAUUUCAACGGUGAUGCAGCGAUUUCGAUUAAGUGUAUUCCACAAUAUAGAGCAUAUUCAUAACAUGAAAUAUAAAACUCUCAUUAUUAACUAUAUAUAUCGUUAACUUUGAACAUGGUCAACAUAUAAAUAUACAGUCAUCACGUUAAGUUAAAUGUAUCCAUACAAUACAUACAAUGAAUCUAUACACAGUAUAAGUAAAAUCCCUACAUCUUUUCUUGUUUUUUUUUCUUCUCGACAGUUUAGAUACAUACAUAAAUGCAUACACACGUAUAUGCGAAGUAUAUAUAUCUCGGAAUAUGUCGCUAAUACACAAUUAUACAAAACGCUAUAGCGAAAUUCGCGUUUGCGUGUGUGGUUCUUUUAUAUUUUUUUUUAUUUUGUU